UUUUAUUAAGCCAUUCAUUGAAAAAAACAACAGUGAUCUGUUUCAUAAUUUUCCAUGCACCACAAUCAUUUAGAAGAAUCACAUUUUGCCAAUCUAUUUCUGUAUUUUCAAAGUAUUUUAAAAAUGGAGUUAGUCUUAGCUGGGCUAAG